GACGAACGCUGGCGGCGUGCUUAACACAUGCAAGUCGAACGGAAAGGCCCUGCUUGCAGGGUACUCGAGUGGCGAAAGGGGGAGUAACACGUGGGUGUUCUGCCCUGCACAUCGGGAGAAGCCUGGGAAACUGGGUCUAAUACCGGAGAGGAGACAUUCUUAGGGAGAGGGGUGGAUAGUUUUUUCGGUGUAGGAUGAGCUCGCGGGCUUUUAGCCAGUUGGUGGGGGAAUGGGCUACCAAGGCGGCUGCGGGUUGGCGGCCGGGGGGGGGGGACGGCCAACUUGGGGCUGGGGUUCGGCCCCGGCCCCCUCGGGGGGCAGGCGUUGGGAAUUUUGCAAAAUUGGCGCGAGCCCUAUGCAGCGACGCCGCGGGGGGGGUUACGGCCUUCGGGUUGUAAACUCCUUUCGCUAGGUACGAAGCUUUUUGUGACGGUACCUAGUGAAGAAGCACCGGCUAACUACGUG
rnacentral:rRNA from 1 species